rnacentral:rRNA from 1 species
CUCGGUGGUCAUAGCGAAGGGGAAACACCCGGUCCCAUUCCGAACCCGGAAGUUAAGCCCUUCAGCGCCGAUGGUACUGCGCGGGGGACCGCGUGGGAGAGUAGGACGCCGCCGGAC